CAGCGUCCCUGCCCUCAGGGUUCUCAAGGCAUUUACUGGAGUAAGGUCAGUGGUUCUUAAUCUUGAUUGUUCAUGAGACUCACCCAAGAAUUGAUUUGUGUUUUUAUUCAUUUAUUUUAACCAUACUCAGGUCCCACUGCAAUUCAGUUGAAUAAGAAAGAAGGAGAAGCUGUGAACUGUAGGUCUAAGGACUUCUCAAACUUUUUCACGUACAUGGAGUCACCCUGGGCUCUUAUCAAAAUGUAGAUUCUGAUUCAGUAGGUCUGGGGAGCUGCUGCUGCUGCUGGUUCCAAACUACGCUGUUUUAUGCAGGCAUAGAAGUCCUUGUACGUAGACAAAAUCCAAGUCACUUUACUUAUACAUUCACAAAUAUAUUUUUAUAAAUUGGAUUCUCAGAGAAGCUGACUUGAGACAGAAAUGAACAUGCAGGACUUGACUAGAAAGUGCUCUCAGCAUCUGCACCUAUGAAGGGAGGGAAAGAGAGGAUUGGAGAGAGGCAGAGCUUGGGUUGCAAGGCAGCCUCAAUGAAGGAUUUGUGACACUGUUAUAACCAGAGGGCUGCCACAUCCUGGCCAUCACAGCCACAGGAAAAAUCGGGAAGUUGGAGAUAUAAACAAAGAAGGGACAAA
rnacentral:lncRNA from 10 species